CCUGCCAGAACAGCUCACAGCGUGGUCUGUGCUCGGUGGGGAUUUUUUAUGGCUUGAUUCUGCAGAAUCUCUGGGGUGUGUGGGGAGGGAAGUAGGGGCAGGUCAGGAAGGGAUGAGUUUCUGUAGGUGGAAGCACAGGAGGAGAAUUCUGCCUCGCUGUUGUGUUCUCAUAAGCUUCUUUGAGCCUGCAGAAAGAUGAUAAUUAAGCUAGACAGAAUCUUAAGCUUUUGCCUUGCCGUGCCAGCAGCACUUCAGAGUCUCCUCUAAAAGGAGCUGUGCCUUGUGCUGGUUCUGUGCAUGCUUAGCUGCUCUCACACCAUAUGGGUGCACAGCAGUGCCUUUGUUUUAGUCUGACCUUGACCUUGAGGUCACAGGCUUCUGAAACUCUAUGGGACAUGUGGACUUAGCCUGGCUGUUGUAGCUACAUCAUCACUUCUACCUGAUUUUUUCUACUCUCUAAAUGUAGCAAAGUCUAGAUGUCAGAGGCUUGGAGCAGUGCACAGAAUUAAAUUAAAUCUUUUCACCUUCAGUGCCAUUGUCAAAAGGAGGAAGGGAGACUUGGAUAACUGAGAAGUGUUUAGAUAAACUGCAUCGCAGUAACAGUGAGGGGUUUGCAGAGACCAGAACCAGCAGAGUCAGACUGUACCUGCUCUAGUAAGUAGUACACCAGCCUGUGCAAAGAUUGCCAGCUCAUAUCCUUCUGCAGAGAAGGUCCUUGGGGGUUUAAAUAGAGAAUUUGUCAGGAACAGCACCUUGACUUAAGUACUGGUGAGAUGGAUCACAGAGAACGAGAUCUUUGGCAUACUCAGAUCCUGUGCUCUGUCACCUGCGUAGAAAGAAGAGGUUGUGUGUGUUGUUAUUUUAGUCUCCUGUCUUGACAAGAGUGCAGAGUUGGUUUCUGCCUGGACCUGAAUAAAUCUUUGUGAAGGUUGUUAGCACCAUUCUUGCUCAGAGCUACUAAAAAGAGAGAGGAAGCAGUAAGGGAAGAAAGAGAGAGAUUAAAGGGGAAAACCCAGUAGGUUAUAAAUGCAUUUUCCUCUGUGCUGGAGGUUAAAUAAUAUUUUAUGUGUGUGACAGAUACUGUGAUUAAGGAGCUGUUAGGCAGAAUGAGAGCUGGGCAGCAAAGGGAGCAGAGAUGCUUGAGGGAAAAGGGUACUAAGAUGUUCUAGUGCUGAAUUCUCUUGUGCAUGUCUACUGUGUGAUAUGUGGCUUUGUGUGCCUUUCAGUGGAGGAAAAAAAAAGGAUCUUCUACAGACAUUUAGGGUGUUUUUCCCUUUCAUUGCUUUAGCAUCUUUUCUGUCUGAGAUGUGUCACUGGUUACUAGUGACAUUGCUUUAGAAAAUGGCCAGAGGCUUUAAUCUCUGCUGCUACUUCAAGGUCUAGGAUUAGGCCCCACAGAAUGGCAUAUGAUAAUCUUGUACAUAAAUCAUGGCUUUAACAAAUGGAAGAGGUUUAUCCUGUUUACUCUGCUGCAGACAGACUCGCCCCUCUGCAUCUUGCUCAGUUUGAGGGCUCCUCAGUCACUGCAGAGCCUCUGGAGUUCCAGCUGUCAUCCUAUACCCCUCAUUCAAUUCAGAGAAGCCUGGGCACUCCGACUGGGUUUUAGAUCAGGUCAAUAAAUACCUGACCUAUGCUGGGCUGUAUUUUAAUGCAUUUUCAUGUUCCACAGGCGCCUGUCAUUCCCAGAGGCUCUUCCUCACGCCGCACGGAGCUGCCUGUGUAAGCUGGGCUUCAGACAGGAUGAUAUGCCUGUCUCAUCUCAUAAGCUUUUUACUUCCACUCAAUGGACAAUGUCUCAUUGAAGCAGCAGCAAACAGGGAGCAGUGUGUGCUCUUAGCAUGCACUACAAAGCUCUGUACUUCACUCAUUUAACACAACAUGGGAUUUGAAGCUCCCCCCGCUUCCUUUUGCAGAAGACAGUGUGUCAUUCCUCUUCUUCAGCUGUGUCAUUCCACUUCUCAGCUGAUCCACUUCUCACUGACAGCAUGGAUAGAGCAGAAGGAGAAAAAGUAAAGAGUCUCAGUUCGGAGGCUCUUUGUCCAGAUGGAAAAUAAGAGAAAGCCUGGCAUGUUGAAAGGUCCAGGUGAAGUGGAAACUCAUGGCUGUUGAAUGUUUGUGUGAGCAGUGGGAUGGUCCUCGAGAUCCUGUGGUGUCCAGCAGAAGUAGAUCCCAUGAAAGAGGUGGUGGGUCGGUGGCUGAGGCAGGGAUGGCAGCAGCCCUUUCUGUACGCCCCCAGGGCGGUGUUCCACGGCUCCAGCACAGCCUCCCAGCCGGCUGGGGUCCCUGGCAGCGCUCAGCCCCGUGCCCCCUGCCCGCCUCUGCCCGAGCAGCCCCGCGGGCCCGGCUCCGCUCCCGGAUCGCACGGCUGCUGCCCCAACGCCAUCAGCAGAGCUGCAAUUAGAGAGCUGCAAUUAGAGAGGAGGCAGCAGGGCAGCGGCUUACUGCACAAGGGUCAGCAUGGAAUCUGUCAGAACGGAAAUAAAUACGGGACAUGACAAAGGAUUUAGCUGCACUGUGUCUGAGGAGGCUGGAACUCAAAUAGCCAGGGCACUGCCAGGAAGGAGCUGGGAGCACUGGGGUUUAGACAGAGGGGGGGAAAGAGGGAAAAAGAAAACCAAAACUGGGUUUUCCUCCUGACCUGAUAAUUUCAAAAGGGGCUUCUAAAAACUUUCUGAGAGGUAGGUCAUGUAGGUAAACCAUUGCCUCAGGGGGAUCUGGGAGAGUUAUCCAAGUUAUCCACAGUGCAGAUCCUGGGAAGUGACUCACUGACACCAACCAGCGUAGUGGGGUUUGUGCAGAGGGAGUUCUGGGGACUGUGGCUGCAGCCUCGGUGAAACGUGGUGGAAUGUGGUGGAAUGUGGUGGAAUGUGGUGGAAUGUGUAGCAGAGAGCAGGAAGUGAGGAGUGCCCGUGCAGGGAGGAGCAGGGCCCUGCUGGCCCUGCUGCCUCGGGCUGACUGGCAUGCUGCAUACACAGCUAGAGGAUGGUGAUUGGGUUCAUUUUGGACUCACUCAGGCUGCAGCCCAACAGGACAGCAUCUGCUUUUCUGUUUGCUGAAGAACAUUGCUGGAACUUCUCCGUAUAUGCUCAUUAGGAAACCCAUUGCUUGAUUUUAUUAAUAUGUGAUGAUUUGGCCCCUUUUACCUACAGAAAAUUACUUUUCAGAAUAAAAUGCGAGAAUAUUGGCUAUGAAAGGGGAAAAUAAAGAGUGUAAUUGUGUUAAUUAUCAGAAUACCAGACAUGUAAUUAAUAUGCCACAGGAAUAAAGAGCAAAUGUACUAAUAGCAUAUAAUUGGACUUAAACUACACCCUUGGUAGAAGUCUCUGCAAUGGAACUGUUGUGUUUGUGCUUCUUUUCAAAUUAGCAAUAAGGAAUAAAUUAACAUCCAUUUUCUUGCCCGUACAAAGGCAGAAUCAUAUUGUGGGGCCGGGUAAUGAAUUCAGAGAAUGCCUUUACAUUCCCAUAUGGCUCUUGGGGAGGGGAAUACUCAUGCACAUGGCUCUUCUCCCUUGCAGGGGAAGGCAGAGAGGAAAACCUCAUUGUGUGACCAGAUGUUUGCAGAAUAGCAUGAGCCUAACAAACACAAAACAUCUGUAAGCUGAGAAAUGAAACACUGUCUCCAGUACCUGGUGCAAAUGUAGAGCUGGUUUGUCCACCCACCCUUUCACACCGGGUGUGUUCCUGGACGGAGUUGUCAGACAAAGAAAUGGGGCAGGGGCAAGACACUGAGGGACACAGAGGGACAUCUUUGACAGAACUGGGAAAAAACCAUAGUUCUUCACUCAGCAAAUACAUCAAUAAAGCCUAAUAUUAUUGAGGUCCUUAACAAGUGUUGCUUUUCAGGUAAAGAGUUGAAAGUCAGUCUGUUCAAGGUAUUUCAAGGUAUUUGCAGUAUAUCUUGACUCAAGGUAUUUCAAGCUAUUGCAGCACUUGUUAAUUUUCCCUCCCUUCUUUGUUCCCUUCUUUCCUAAAUAUGUAAAUGGAAAGCCUAGAAAUUCUGUCUUAUUCAAUUGUAAUGCACCUGUCACCACAGUAUGCAGACACCUGCCUUUUGCUUCACAGAAGUAUUGUGAGAGUGCAUUAAUUAACGCUUGUAAAUGCUCGAGGUCCUGGGCUGGAAGGUGCUAAUGAGUUGUAAAAUAUUAUAAUGAUGAUGCAGAAUAUUCAGUCUCUCUUUGUAAGGAAGGACUUGCAUCUCCCCUUCAUGGCUUUCAUGUUUCUGGAUGCAUGUUUUGCUACAGAAGGUAAGUCUGAGCAGGAAGAAUUGAACAAGGUAGAAAGAUUGCUAAUGCUGCUGGUUUUCUUGGGAGGGAGCUGGUUGGUUUCAUGUACUUCUUUGCUUAUUGAAUUUUCUUUUUGUCUCUCUGAUGAACCCCUACUUCAAUGGCUUGUUGAGAAUUCUCUGAAUGUUCAGAAAUGUCAGGGGAGAAGAUUUUCUUCUUCAGAUUGCCAAGGCCUUCAUUUGCAUCCCCUAAAUCAAUUCUCAUACAUGAUCAAAGCAGUUCUGGAAAUUUUCAAGUGUGGGGAAAACCAGUCCUGUAAUUUUUUUUGUCCUCUAAAAUACACAGUCAGGUUCCAAAGCAUUAAAUAAUAAUAAUAAUAAAGUCUUAAUCUACUGAAUCUAAAAACA